CAGCCGCGGUAAUACGGAGGAUCCAAGCGUUAUCCGGAAUCAUUGGGUUUAAAGGGUCCGCAGGCGGAUAAUUAAGUCAGAGGUGAAAUCCUACAGCUCAACUGUAGAACUGCCUUUGAUACUGGUUGACUUGAGUUAUUAGGAAGUAGAUAGAAUAUGUAGUGUAGCGGUGAAAUGCAUAGAUAUUACAUAGAAUACCGAUUGCGAAGGCAGACUACUACUAAUAUACUGACGCUGAUGGACGAAAGCGUGGGGAGCGAACAGGAUUAGAUACCCUGGUAGUCCACGCCGUAAACGAUGGACACUAGCUGUUGGGAUUUAUUUCAGUGACUAAGCGAAAGUGAUAAGUGUCCCACCUGGGGAGUACGAUCGCAAGAUUGAAACUCACAGGAAUUGAC
rnacentral:rRNA from 1 species